UACGGAGGGUGCAAGCGUUAUCCGGAUUCACUGGUUUAAAGCGUGUGUAGGCGGUCUCAUAAGUCGGAUGUGAAAGCCCCGGGCUCAACCCGGGAAGUGCAUUCGAAACUGCGAGGCUAGAGUAUCGGAGAGGUUGGUGGAAUUCUCGGUGUAGAGGUGAAAUUCGUAGAUAUCGAGAGGAACACCGGUGGCGAAGGCGGCUUUCUGGACGACAACUGACGCUGAGACGCGAAAGCGUGGGGAGCAAACAGG
rnacentral:rRNA from 1 species